rnacentral:rRNA from 1 species
GCCCAAGAGAUCGGGAUAACACCUGGAAACAGAUGCUAAUACCGGAUAACAACAGAUGAUGCCUAUCAACUGUUUAAAAGAUGGUUCUGCUAUCACUCUUGGAUGGACCUGCGGUGCAUUAGCUAGUUGGUAGGGUAACGGCCUACCAAGGCGAUGAUGCAUAGCCGAGUUGAGAGACUGAUCGGCCACAUUGGGACUGAGACGCGGCCCAAACUCCUACGGGAGGCAGCAG